AAGGCCUGCAAAACUCUAAUAUGCAUCUGAUGACUGCAACUCAACCGCUUUAAUUAAGCUANGACCUC
rnacentral:tRNA from 1 species